rnacentral:rRNA from 1 species
GAACGGCAGCACAGAGGAGCUUGCCCUUGGGUGGCGAGUGGCGGACGGGUGAGGAAUACAUCGGAAUCUACUCUGUCGUGGGGGAUAACGUAGGGAAACUUACGCUAAUACCGCAUACGACCUACGGGUGAAAGCAGGGGAUCUUCGGACCUUGCGCGAUUGAAUGAGCCGAUGUCGGAUUAGCUAGUUGGCGGGGUAAAGGCCCACCAAGGCGACGAUCCGUAGCUGGUCUGAGAGGAUGAUCAGCCACACUGGAACUGAGACACGGUCCAGACUCCUACGGGAGGCAGCAGUGGGGAAUAUUGGACAAUGGGCGCAAGCUUGAUCCAGCCAUACCGCGUGGGUGAAGAAGGCCUUCGGGUUGUAAAGCCCUUUUGUUGGGAAAGAAAUCCAGCUGGCUAAUACCCGGUUGGGAUGACGGUACCCAAAGAAUAAGCACCGGCUAACUUCGUGCCA